rnacentral:rRNA from 1 species
UACAGAGGGUGCGAGCGUUAAUCGGAAUUACUGGGCGUAAAGGGCGAGUAGGCGGUAUGAUGAGUCAGACGUGAAAGACCCGAGCUUAACUUGGGAAUGGCGUAUGAUACUGUGAUACUAGAGUGGAGUAGAGGGUAGUGGAAUUUCCAGUGUAGCGGUGAAAUGCUUAGAUAUGACACAGAACACCGAUUGCGAAGGCAGCUCACUAAACUGUAACUGACGCUGAGGCACGAAAGCGUGGGGAGCAAACAGG